rnacentral:sRNA from 5 species
AUGUACCCACGUACACUCCGGUUUCUCCGCGCCGUCCGCACCCACCUGACGGCUGCUCGCUACGUUUUGUUAGCC